UGCUGAACUUCGUGCCUGGGGAUGGAUAUCCGGCCUACAGGAAUUAUCCCGCCUACGAAGCUGGUGCUCUUGUAGAACUGAUAAGAGCACAACCCACCCAAUCGUUAACGAUGAACUAUCCUUUACACGUGCUUAUAUAAGCAGUGAGGAUUUUCAUUGGCUAUCAAACCUUUUAACUACCAGCAGGACUUUUCCAGCAUUGACUUCCGCCAGCAGCCUGAAUUGUAUCAGGUUGGACGAGGCGAGCAGGGGGUGCUACUGGUUGAACCCUACAAAAGCGAAAUUCUUCCUUUCUGGCGCUAUAAAGAUGAAGCAUCGGCGAUGAAAUCCGCAGAGCAGAUCUACCAGUUGUUCGAAGCUUACCGGCAGCAGGAUGAUUUCGUUGGUAUGGACAUGGCGCGUAAAUUUAUUCAGAUGGGAUACACCCGCGCCAGGCGAUACGCUAACUAUAAAGGCGGUAAAAAGUAU
rnacentral:rRNA from 1 species